AUGGGUCAGGAUCCACCACUGCCCGUGGAGGUGAGGCCGUGUCGCCCGGAUCCGCCGUCACCGAAGCAGAGCAGCCCUGCGCUGCGCCGCGGGGAUCUGCCACCUCCAGACGAGCAGCAUGAAGUAGGCCGAUGGCUCCCGAGCAGGAGACGCGCCGCCGCGAGACGAGACCGCACAGCCGGGAACCUUACCACCCUUAGGGUGGCGAGGCCGACGCCGCCGCGGCUCCUGCCGGCGGCGAAGUAG
rnacentral:rRNA from 1 species